rnacentral:rRNA from 1 species
GGAACCAGGACUUUUACCUUGAAAAAAUUAGAGUGCUCCAGGCAGGCCUAUGCUCGAAUACAUUAGCAUGGAAUAAUGACGUCCAUGCACCACUUAGGUUGUUAAAGGUAGUAUGACAGUGGUUAAGCUUAUUAGGGCGGGUCCGGGUCAUCGGCAGACAAAGACGGGGAAUAAAAUUGUUGGAUUUUUUGAAGAAUAGGUAAUAGCAAAACAUUGCACAAGGUUGUUUUCAUUAAUCAGGAACGAAAGAUAUGGGAUCGAAGCCGAUCAGAUACCGUGGUAGUUUUACCCGUAAACUAUGCGGAGUAGGGAUCGGAGGAUGUUUUUUUUUGACUCGUUCGGCACCUUACGAGAAAUCAAAGUGCUUGGGCUCCAGGGGGAGUAUGGAAGCAAGGUUGAAAGUUAAAGAAAAUGACGGAAGGGCACCACCAGGGGUGGAGCGUGUGGAUUAAUUUGACUCAACACGGGGUAACUCACCAGGUCCAGACACACGGAGGAUGACAGAGGAUCGCUUUGCUU